AUGGAUCCUUCUAACGACGAAUGCAUUGAGAAGUUUUUAAAGGAACUGGGUGUUCUGGAAAAUGUUAACCUGAUUCAAUUCCAGAAAAUUCAAAAUUUCAAGCAAGCCAUAAACAAGCUUUCAGAGGCUCUUCAAAGCAUUGAUCUGUCAAAGAAAGACUCAAAUGUUUUUGACAGCCCUCAUGUUUACCCCAAAGAACUUGUAGAUAGCAUAAAUCAGAUGAUCUACGAAGAAUGGCUGAAGAACAAGUGGACUCCCUGCGAAAACAGACAGCUUAAUUUAUUUGAGUAUAUGAAGGAAGUUAAUACUUUUUUCAAAGAACUUACAAGCUCUAUUCAACCCUCAUUUGAUGGAGCUGAUGGGGUCAGUUUAAAAGAAAAGUAUGAGCAGUCCAAAGAAGAACUAGAAAAACUACGCUCAAUGGACAAAAAUUUGUCAAAUUCAGAAACAAUGAUAAACGAAAAAACGAGAACCCUGUCAGAUAAAAUCAAGGAAUUAGAGGUUGAAUUAUUCGAUGGUAAUGCCGUAAAACAUUCUGAGCUAAUUAUUUUCUAUUACUAAAGAAGAUAAAUAAAAUUUCUCUCAAUGAUGAAUGGUAUGAAGUAAACAUCAUUUGUUCUACAAAUGAAUCAAUUGUGCAAUGGUUGUUUGAGAUCCAAGAGAACUUGUGACCCUGUUUUCAAGAAGUGGACACCUAGCCUUUAGAUUCAAUUUGAUGAGCUACUCAAGUUUAUACUAUGGAUAGAUGUGAAACUGAUGUUAGAAAAUGUUCUAGUGAAGUUUUUAAAUGGAUAUCCAAUGAAUCUUUUUGAUGUUUGGCAGUACUCUUAAAAGAAUUACCCAAAAAAUUUGCCGCCUGGGUUUGCCCAGUGGUCAGCGCUUCUGACUCUGGUCAGGGUCCUGGGUUAAAUCUCGGUAGUGGUAACAAAGUUUCCUGGAACUGACGGGUAUACCUGCAGAAACCGAUUUCACUUGGCCUUAACCUCUGAAAACUUGAAAACCUGAAGCACGUUGGUUCUGCCAGGUUUGCCAAGCUGUAAAGAGCAAAAAAAAGUCACAGAAGAAAUCAAAUCUUACAAUUGAAUUGGGACGUGCGAAAACAGCUUUUGUCCAUUUUUCCAGUUUUACGUUUUUUUAGUUCAUAAUACUUUUAAAGAGUUGAUACAACCAUAAAAGUGAUGCAAGGAUUUGUUUUGGUUUUGAGAAAACCCGAAGACGAGUUUUAACGCCACUCUCAAGGUUGCAACCAACUCCGAAAAGUAUCAUGAACUCAAAAAAACUUAAGACUGGAAAAUUGGACGUCAGCUGUUUUCGCAUGUCCCGAUUCAAUUAGUGAUGACUUCAAAAGUAGAUUCCUUCAGUGCCUUAUUGAUCUGCUUAAAUUCUCUAAUUAAUUAGUAAACUGUCCUGUAAAUUUGUUGUUUACCUACUCUAUUUUUUUAACUUUUACAGAUAGUGAUGAAGAGGCAGAUCCUAUUUUUAAAAAUCUACUAAAUGACUCACCUCAGAUAAGAAUGCCAUCUCUCGAUAAAGAAGUUGAGAAUAUAAAAUAUGAAUUUCUCAUCGAUUCUCCUGCCAUUAAGAGUAAGUCGAUAUUAGAACCUGUGUAAGAUAAGUUUGCAGUUGUUAACUUUUGGUUUGCAAGAGUCUGAGUUGCUGUUGUCCAAUAGCGAUCGAGGUUUGACCGCAGGCGACUCAGCUGUCAUGCGCAGAUAUGUAAUUCAAUCUAUUGUGUUCAAUGGUGAAAAGUAAAUAGCUGUGAACUUAUCCGGCAAAAGUUCUAAUUAGUUUUGUUUAUUUCCCAGUUGUACAUUAGCUUUCUGUGGCUGUAUCUAAUCGUACAAGUGAAAAUCACUUAUCUCAAUGUGCAUUGUCGUCUCUUGUCUGAUUCUGUUUCGAAAAAAUCACUUACUAACAUUACUCUAAAUUAAAUUAAAAUAAAAUGAUCCCACUCGGUCAUUUUUUAAUCGGCACUUCUUCACCUUAAAUGAAGUGUCAACCCUAAGUAUCAUUUUGACGGAGAUGUAUAGGAGGGUCUGUGACACCUUUAAUGGAUUAUCUUUGCUGAAAUUGUUUCCAUCAGCAUUUGAGAAACCUCAAAAAUUUUUCCAGAUGCUUUGAUCCAGGAGAGGAACCAGAUACGACUCCAAUACCAGUGUAUGGCCAUGGCUACCAUGGCUGUGUACCAUGGCUUGCGUUCAGCCACAUGCGGUCUGAUUUCCUCUCAAGAUAGCCUCUUCAACUCUGUAUACCCUAACAAAGAUCUUUCUGGCCGAGAUUAUUAAAAUAAAUCUAUUCUUGUUGACAUAUUGAAUAAUCCUCAUAGUUUCUUCUGUGAAAAAAUUCAUUCAAGUUCUUUUUUGCAAGAAAAUAUAUCUGCGGCUAAGAGCCGAAGGAUGGAUUGAACACAAUUCAGAAUCGAAUCAGUGAGGAUGAAAACAUACCAACUCAGAAAAAUGUAAUUGUUCAAGAGACACAAAAACUGCGCAGUAGGUGAAGAAGUUGGUCUAAGAAAAUGCUUUUUUGAGCCAAAGGACAAUUACUUUGGGACAGUGUAAAGGCCCAGGUUAACAUAUAUGUGCUAUCCUCAAUGGCUUUUGAAAACUGAACAUCUUUAAUGAAAGGGCAUUUUUAAGUUUUCAAGUUUGUAUGUUUUCAUUCUCAUGGAUUCAGUUAUCUUAAGUAUUAUUCUGUUCAAUAUAUUUUUCAUAAUCAGUGAAAUCCAAUCACUUGUCAUUGAGAUUUCUUAUGAUCAUUUCAGAAUUUGCCUCUAAACUACUUCAUCAAUUGAAAACUCAGAAAACGGCUGGUGUUGCCACACCCUGUAACAGUGGUAAUUAUUUUCUACUAUGUAUUCCUCCUCUUUUCCUCUAACUGAAGUUUUUUUCCAAUGGUAAGGUAAUAGCCUUGUUCAUUCUAAGUUGCAACCCAAUGGACUUCCGGACAAGGUACGAAUUUUAGCAUCUGAUAUAUGUACUUUUAAAACUACCACUCUAAAUUUCACACAGUACGUUAUCUGCGCAUCAGAAAUUACUGAAAUUAACUCCCAACCGAAUUAUUAAGGUUUUUUUCAGCACUGGUCACAAAAAAGUUGUAAAUUCUGCUCUCAUGAAAAACCAGAAUCUACUUCAUUCAAGUCGUGCACCACAACAGGUUUGUCAGGCUUCUCAAUAAGCAUUGCUCGUUUCAUACCUUGCGCUC
rnacentral:lncRNA from 1 species